AUUGAACGCUGGCGGCAUGCCUUACACAUGCAAGUCGAACGGCAGCACGGGUGCUUGCACCUGGUGGCGAGUGGCGAACGGGUGAGUAAUACAUCGGAACAUGUCCUGUAGUGGGGGAUAGCCCGGCGAAAGCCGGAUUAAUACCGCAUACGAUCUACGGAUGAAAGCGGGGGACCUUCGGGCCUCGCGCUAUAGGGUUGGCCGAUGGCUGAUUAGCUAGUUGGUGGGGUAAAGGCCUACCAAGGCGACGAUCAGUAGCCGGUCUGAGAGGACGACCAGCCACUCUGGGACUGAGGCACGGCCCAGACUCCUACGGGAGGCAGCAGUGGGGAAUUUUGGACAAUGGGCGAAAGCCUGAUCCAGCAAUGCCGCGUGUGUGAAGAAGGCCUUCGGGUUGUAAAGCACUUUUGUCCGGAAAGAAAUCCUUGGCCCUAAUACGGUCGGGGGAUGACGGUACCGGAAGAAUAAGCACCGGCUAACUACGUG
rnacentral:rRNA from 1 species